rnacentral:tRNA from 2 species
GCGAAGGUGGCGGAAUUGGUAGACGCGCUAGCUUCAGGUGUUAGUGUCCUUACGGACGUGGGGGUUCAAGUCCCCCCCCGCGCACCA